GAUGAAGAACGUAGCGAAAUGCGAUAAGUAAUGUGAAUUGCAGAAUUCAGUGAAUCAUCGAAUCUUUGAACGCACAUUGCGCCCAUUAGUAUUCUAGUGGGCAUGCCUGUUCGAGCGUCAUUAAGUCCACUUAAGCCCUGCUUAGUGUUGGGAGACUGCUCCAGCGGUGCUACCCUGUAGCUACCCUGCAGCUCCUCAAAGACAGCGGCGGAGUUGUGGUAUCCUCUGAGCUUAGUAACUUGUUCUAGCUUUCGAGUACACCACUUCCCCUGCCGUAAAACCCUUAAUUUUUAAUGGUUGACCUCGGAUCGGGUAGGAAUACCCGCUGAACUUAAGCAUAUCAAUAAGCGGAGGA
rnacentral:misc_RNA from 1 species